rnacentral:rRNA from 1 species
AUACUGUAUAAUCCCUGCGGGGGAAAGAUUUAUCGCUAUUAGAUGAGCCUACGUUAGAUUAGCUAGUUGGUAAGGUAAUGGCUUACCAAGGCUAUGAUCUAUAGCUGGUCUGAGAGGACGAUCAGCCACACUGGAACUGAGAUACGGUCCAGACUCCUACGGGAGGCAGCAGUGGGGAAUAUUGGACAAUGGGCGAAAGCCUGAUCCAGCUAUGCCGCGUGAGUGAAGAAGGCCUUCGGGUUGUAAAGCUCUUUCAAUAGGGAAGAUAAUGACGGUACCUAUAGAAGAAGUCCCGGCAAACUCCGUGCCAGCAGCCGCGGUAAUACGGAGGGGGCAAGCGUUGUUCGGAAUUAUUGGGCGUAAAGGGCACGUAGGUGGACUAGUAAGUUAAAAGUGAAAUACCAAAGCUUAACUUUGGAGCUGCUUUUAAUACUGCUAGACUAGAGGUCGAAAGAGGAUAGCGGAAUUCCUAGUGUAGAGGUGAAAUUCGUAGAUAUUAGGAGGAACACCAGUGGCGAAGGCGGCUAUCUGGUUCGAUACUGACACUGAGGUGCGAAAGCGUGGGGAGCAAACAGGAUUAGAUACCCUGGUAGUCCACGCUGUAAACGAUGAGUGCUAAAUGUGAGGAUUUUAUCUUUGUAUUGUAGCUAACGCGUUAAGCACUCCGCCUGGGGACUACGGUCGCAAGACUAAAACUCAAAGGAAUUGACGGGGACCCGCACAAGCGGUGGAGCAUGUGGUUUAAUUCGAUGCUACGCGAAAAACCUUACCACUUUUUGACAUGAAGGUCGUAUCCCUCCUAACAGGGGGAGUCAGUUCGGCUGGACCUUACACAGGUGCUGCAUGGGUUGUCGUCAGCUCGUGUCGUGAGAUGUUGGGUUAAGUCCCGCAACGAGCGCAACCCUCAUCCUUAGUUACCAACAGGUAAUGCUGGGCACUCUAAGGAAACUGCCAGUGAUAAACUGGAGGAAGGUGGGGAUGAUGUCAAAUCAGCACGGCCCUUAUAAGGUGGGCUACACACGUGCUACAAUGGCAACUACAAUAGGUUGCGAGACCGCAAGGUUUAGCUAAUCCAUAAAAGUUGUCUCAGUUCGGAUUGUUCUCUGCAACUCGAGAGCAUGAAGUCGGAAUCGCUAGUAAUCGUGGAUCAUCACGCCACGGUGAAUACGUUCUCGGGUCUUGUACACACUGCCCGUCACGCCAUGGGAAUUGGCUUAACUCGAAGCUGGUGUGCUAACCGCAAGGAAGCA